CAGCAGCCACGGGAAUACGUAGGUGGCAAGCGUUGUCCGGAAUUACUGGGCGUAAAGCGCACGCAGGCGGUUUGUUAAGUCAGAUGUGAAAUCCCCGAGCUUAACUUGGGAACUGCAUUUGAAACUGGCAAGCUAGAGUCUUGUAGAGGGGGGUAGAAUUCCCGGUGUAGCGGUGAAAUGCGUAGAGAUCGGGAGGAACAUCAGUGGCGAAGGCGGCCAUCUGGGACAACACUGACGCUGAAGCACGAAAGCGUGGGGAGCAAACAGGAUUAGAUACCCCGGUAGUCCCUGUCUCUUAUAC
rnacentral:rRNA from 1 species